rnacentral:pre_miRNA from 1 species
UUUGGGGGGGGGGGGGGCCCUCAGCCUGAAUUGUGAGAGGCACAGGCCAGGCUGAGGGACCUCACUGGUGCAUG